AAUCUCGAGAAAAGCAAUAAUGAUACUACUUAUUGUGUCUUUCAUGUGUAUACCUUUCGUUUUAAGAUUGGAUAAGUAUAUUUGAUUGAUGUUUUAAAUAUUUAGCUUUAAUUUUAAAUUAUUGUCUACAUAUUUGAGUUAUUGUAGUUGAUUUGUCGUUAAUGAGUUUAUAGAUGGAAUGAAGCAUUCUAGCCAUUCUUCAAUAAGUGAUUUAAUUUAUUGUAAUUCUUUUGUAUAAGUUUUGCGUAAUAUAAUGGAUGUAUUUAAUGAUAUAUGAUACAGUCGGAAGAGACCUAUAUAACUUGAUAUGCACAGAUAUUAUCACCUGCUGAUCAAAAGAAAUGAAAAUGAAAUGACAAGCUAUGAAGAUGUAUAUAAACAAAAGGAACAUAGACGAUGAUAAUGAAAUUGACGAAGAAUAGAGACAAGGACAGGGACCAGAGGCGAGGCAGAGAAGAACCACGACGAAGUUAGUGGGUGACCAAAUCCUCAUAGACAAAGACCAAGAGGAGCUAGUAGAGCUGAAAAGGGUUCAAGAAAAAAUGGUGGGAACUCCUAUUAAUGGAAGAGCAAGGCCAGCUUUUGCAGUUGUAAAUCGUGGAAAUGAUCAACAACAUGGCCCUAUCCACCUAGCAAUGCUGGGUCGGAUUAUGGUGUUAUAGAGUUCAUUAGAGAGGAUAUUGAAGCCUUGCUGAAUGAAAAGUCCAAAAGGAAAGACAAAUUCAAUUAUAAGGUUAGUUAAGAUGUUGUUUUAA